rnacentral:rRNA from 1 species
GGAAUAUUGGACAAUGGGCGAAAGCCUGAUCCAGCCAUGCCGCGUGAGUGAUGAAGGCCUUAGGGUUGUAAAGCUCUUUCAGUAGGGAAGAUAAUGACGGUACCUACAGAAGAAGCCCCGGCUAACUUCGUGCCAGCAGCCGCGGUAAUACAGAGGGUGCGAGCGUUGUUCGGAAUCACUGGGCGUAAAGCGCGCGCAGGCGGGACUUGCAAGUCGGGAGUGAAAGGCCGGGGCUCAACCCCGGAGCUGCUUUCGAGACUGCGGACCUGGAGACCAGUAGGGGUUGGUGGAAUUCCCGGUGUAGCGGUGGAAUGCGUAGAUAUCGGGAAGAACACCCGUGGCGAAGGCGGCCAACUGGGCUGGAUCUGACGCUGAGGCGCGAAAGCGUGGGGAGC